rnacentral:rRNA from 1 species
AGUAACAGCUGGAAACGGGCUGCUAAUACCGCAUAAGCGCACGAGGAGACAUCUCCUUGUGUGAAAACUCCGGUGGUACAGGAUGGACUCGCGUCUGAUUAGCUGGUUGGUGAGGUAACGGCUCACCAAGGCGACGAUCAGUAGCCGGCUUGAGAGAGUGAACGGCCACAUUGGGACUGAGACACGGCCCAAACUCCUACGGGAGGCAGCAUG